GCCGCCGCCGCCGCCGCCGCCACCGGCGGCGGCCAAGAAACCCACCCCGCUGCGGCACCGUCACAGCCGCGACUCCGUGUUUUCCCACAACUCGGCCGCGUCUGGCGACUCGGGCUCGCCGGGCUCUACUGGGAGCGCGGACACGCUGCGCGCCAUGAUGGAUAUGCAACGUCACCAGCUGGCGAUGCGCGCCAACAAGGCGUUCCUGCCGCCGCUGUAGGUGGCGCUGCGGGUGGCGGCCCCGCUUCGGUGCGGUGCGGUCCCCUGCCGUCGGUCACCGCCGCCGGAUGCGGACGUGCACACCACUCUGGGCCAGCGUGAGCACCGGACCGGGCCGCCGCUGGACUGGGCGACAGACGCGUCUUCUCGCUGGCCCGUCACACAGUCCGAGAUACCGCGGUCUGCGCCGACUUCCUCCGGACAUUGAUACUGAGAUGAGAAGAUUAUAGUGCCGGAGUCUGCUUAGACACCAUGCAAACGUUCGGCUGGUGCCGAUCGUUAGAGUGAUUACCGAUGGUAUCUACCGACAAAGUGUGUACCGGACGUAGCGGUUUUCUUUGCUUUAGUGUAACGGUAUAAUGAAAUAUGCUGCGCUUGCCGGCGUGAUCAUCUGUUAAACUUUAUUAAGCCCAGUCUACCUAGAUCAUUUUAAAUGGUUGCAAAGGGUUUGCCUUGUAAGGAGCAGUGAGAAAAAUCAGGGCUGUAAUUCUGCGUUGAAAUGUCAACUUAUUAUUCUCCGUAUCUUUGGCCAGCGUUUUUGCGGGGUAUGAUGCAUCCAAUUCAGGUUUGUACUCAAUUUUUCAGACUUAAUAUGUAAAUGCGGUGAUGGUUUGGAAUGAGUCGCCUGUGCAAAAGUGUAGCCGGGGACCGACGGGCUGGCUGGCCCGGCUCGCGCCCCAGCGCUGGCCCGCCGGGGUUGCCGCGCCGGUGCUGGAUGUCACCUGACCUGACCCCGGGCGCCGCCAGUCUGACCCAGCGUCCUCACGCCAAUACAAGUUGCAAGCUGCA